ACUCAAAGGAAUAGACGGGGGCCCGCACAAGCAGUGGAGUAUGUGGUUUAAUUCGAUGCAACGCGAAGAACCUUACCGGGGUUUGACAUCCAUCUAACGAAGUAGAGAUACAUCAGGUGCCCUUCGGGGAGAGAUGAGACAGGUGGUGCAUGGUUGUCGUCAGCUCGUGUCGUGAGAUGUUGGGUUAAGUCCCGCAACGAGCGCAACCCUUAUGAUUAGUUGCUACGCAAGAGCACUCUAAUCAGACUGCCGUUGAUAAAACGGAGGAAGGUGGGGAUGAUGUCAAAUCAUCAUGCCCUUUAUAUCCCGGGCUACACACGUACUACAAUGGCGAAGAACAACGGGGCGCGAAACCGCGAGGUGGAGCAAAUCCCGAAAAAUCGCCUCAGUUCAGAUUGCAGGCUGCAACUCGCCUGCAUGAAGUCGGAAUUGCUAGUAAUCGCAGAUCAGCAUGCUGCGGUGAAUACGUUCCCGGGCCUUGUACACACCGCCCGU
rnacentral:rRNA from 1 species